rnacentral:rRNA from 1 species
UACGUAGGGGGCAAGCGUUGUCCGGAAUCAUUGGGCGUAAAGAGCGUGUAGGCGGUCCGGUAAGUCAGCUGUGAAAGUCAAGGGCUCAACCCUUGAAAGCCGGUUGAUACUGUCGGGCUAGAGUCCGGAAGAGGCGAGUGGAAUUCCCGGUGUAGCGGUGAAAUGCGCAGAUAUCGGGAGGAACACCAAUGGCGAAGGCAGCUCGCUGGGACGGUACUGACGCUGAGACGCGAAAGCGUGGGGAGCAAACAGG